GCUCGGACUGGAGGACAGGGGAGGGAUCACUUAAUAAACUACCUGUUCUGUUCAUUGCUUCUGAAGCAUUUGGCACUGGCCACUGUUGGAAGACAGGAUACUGGGCUAGAUGGGCCAUUAGACUGACCCAGGAGGGCCAUUUUUAUGUACCCCACUUAUGGAAGAAGCACUCUGUA